rnacentral:tRNA from 1 species
GGGCGGCUAGCUCAGUUGGUUAGAGCGUCACAUUGACAUUGUGAAGGUCAGAGGUUCGACUCCUCUGCCGCCCA